UACAGAGGUCUCAACCGUUGUUCGGAUUCAUUGGGCGUAAAGGGUGCGUAGGUGGCGCCGUAAGUCAGGUGUGAAAUCUCGGGGCUCAACCCCGAAACUGCACUUGAUACUGCGGUGCUCGAGUACUGGAGAGGAGAUUGGAAUUUACGGUGUAGCAGUGAAAUGCGUAGAUAUCGUAAGGAAGACCAGUGGCGAAGGCGAAUCUCUGGACAGUUACUGACACUGAGGCACGAAGGCCAGGGGAGCAAACGGG
rnacentral:rRNA from 1 species